rnacentral:pre_miRNA from 1 species
UUAUUACUCCCUCCGUCCCAAAAUUCUUGUCUUAGAUUUGUCUAAAUACGGAUGUAUCAAGUCACGUUUUAGUAUUAGAUACAUCCGUAUCUAGACAAAUCUAAGACAAGAAUUUUGGGACGGAGGGAGUACAAG